CGAAAUAGGAGGAAUGGAAAUAAAUCACUGCCGUGGCUCACUUUCUGGGCCGACCUGCGCAUCUCCAUUGGUUUGAUGUCUCUUGAUAGUCAGGAGUCAUGGGGAGAGGGGAGAGAGGGAUUAAAUCCACCCUGGUGGAGCAUUAAUGAUGUAAAGGAGGGGAGCUAGCAGCACACUAAUUACAUUUGCAGAUAACUUCAGACUGGGAGGAGAUGCAAACUCGGGUGAGAAGUGAAACACAAAGGAACGUGGAGGGACCGGAGCUGUGGGUAGGAAGCACGAUGUAAACCAGCCCCCAGUGAAUGCAUUUCCUCUGUUGUGGGAAAAUUACCCCAAAGACGAACUCAGUGGGAGUGAAACACCUGGAGAGCAAUAGCCUCGGGCAGAAAGCACUCUGUGUACCAGGGACAUACUGUGCAUCUGCUGUGCUGCGUUGGAAGAGGCCUCAGCUUCCCUCGGAGCUUAUGUCAGGAGCUCCGGCACCCACAUGAAGCUUCCCGAGGAUUUUGUCAUUUGCAGCCACCAGCACUUGAAAACAGUGCUGGAGUUAUGAGCUCCCCAUGCUGCUGGUGAGCCCUGAUGCAAUCUCAAAGCUGAGCUCUGGUGAGCAGCCUGCGUCCCGCAGCCAAAAUAAUUCAGGCUCUGCAACUUGAAGCACAGAGCAAUUCACAGGCUAACCCACUUGUAGGGCGAAGGAUGAAGUGCUACAUCCUGAAUAUGAGCAGCGAAAUUACUAGUGCCACCUCUGUCAAUGCCACCGAAUCCCUCCAAAAUGAAUUCUUGAGAAGAAAUGAGCCUGUUAGACGAAGAGAUUUGCUGAACACUGUGGAUUUGCCUUUCAUAGCUCUGUGCAGGGGCAGCACAUGCUGACCUUCUACCAAGGUCAGAUAAAAUCAGGCUGGGUGCAGCAGCAAAUGUUUCCCAGUUUGCUCGCUUUGCUUGCAAAAUGCUAGCUGGGUCCAUUCCUGCGGAGAUGGCACGAGAUUAGGACAGGUCUGCUCUGCUUUCUGCAGGAC
ensembl:lncRNA